rnacentral:rRNA from 1 species
GAUGAACGCUGGCGGCGUGCCUAAUACAUGCAAGUCGAGCGAAUGGAUUAAGAGCUUGCUCUUAUGAAGUUAGCGGCGGACGGGUGAGUAACACGUGGGUAACCUGCCCAUAAGACUGGGAUAACUCCGGGAAACCGGGGCUAAUACCGGAUAACAUUUUGAACCGCAUGGUUCGAAAUUGAAAGGCGGCUUCGGCUUUCACUUAUGGAUUGACCCGCGUCGCAUUAGCUAGGUGGGGAGGUAACGGCUCACCAAGGCAACGAUGCGUAGCCGACCUGAGAGGGUGAGCGGCCACACUGGGACUGAGACACGGCCCAGACUCCUACGGGAGGCAGCAGUAGGGAAUCUUCCGCAAUGGACGAAAGUCUGACGGAGCAACGCCGCGUGAGUGAUGAAGGCUUUCGGGUCGUAAAACUCUGUUGUUAGGGAAGAACAAGUGCUAGUUGAAUAAGCUGGCACCUUGACGGUACCUAACCAGAAAGCCACGGCUAACUACGUGCCAGCCGCCGCGGUAA